rnacentral:rRNA from 1 species
GUACGCUGGCGGCACGCCUAACACAUGCAAGUCGAACGAAGUAGCAAUACUUAGUGGCAGACGGGUGAGUAACAUGUGGGUAUCUGCCCUUUGGCCUGGAAUAACACGAGGAAACUUGUGCUAAUACCGGAUAAGUCUUUACGGAGAAAGCUUUAUGCACCAUUGGAUGAGCCCGCACUUGAUUAGUUUGUUGGUGGGGUAAUGGCCUACCAAGACUGUGAUCAAUAGCUGAUUUGAGAGGAUGAUCAGCCACAUUGGGACUGAGACACGGCCCAAACUCCUACGGGAGGCAGCAGUGGGGAAUCUUGCACAAUGGAGGAAACUCUGAUGCAGCGAUGCCGCGUGAGUGAAGAAGGCCCUUGGGUUGUAAAGCUCUUUCGUCGGGGAAGAAAAUGACUGUACCCGAAUAAGAAGGUCCGGCUAACUUCGUGCCAGCAGCCGCGGUAAUACGAAGGGACCUAGCGUAGUUCGGAAUUACUGGGCUUAAAGAGUUCGUAGGUGGUUGAAAAAGUUAGUGGUGAAAUCCCAGAGCUUAACUCUGGAACUGCCAUUAAAACUUUUCAGCUAGAGUA